UAAGACAGAGGAUGCAAACGUUGCUCGGAAUUACUGGGCGUAAAGCGCGCGUAGGCGGUUCGGUAAGUCAGGUGUGAAAUCCCGGGGCUCAACCUCGGAAGGGCACAUGAUACUGCCAAACUUGAGUACUGGAGAGGAGAGUGGAAUUCCCGGUGUAGAGGUGAAAUUCGUAGAUAUCGGGAGGAACACCAGUGGCGAAGGCGACUCUCUGGACAGAUACUGACGCUGAGGCGCGAAAGCGUGGGAAGCAAACAGGAUUAGAUACCCUGGUAGUCCACGCCGUAAACGAUGACGACUGGGUGUUUCGGGUAUUGACUCCCGAGGUGCCGAAGCUAACGCGUUAAGUCGUCCGCCUGGGAAGUACGGCCGCAAGGCUA
rnacentral:rRNA from 1 species